CUCAAAUUUUUAAAACCCAAUAAAUAUACACAAAGCCCAAAGCCACACUGCCUCUCAUCCACUGUAGCCAUGCCAACAUCAUGCAUAUAUGUCCAUAAACUUGGCCUAGGGAAGAUCCUUCACGUGCAAAUAUCCAACAGCCAUCAGCCAAGCCCGCCACCCCCGUAGAGCUGCUAAUGAGGACACUAAAUUACACACCUGGACAGACUGUUGUGAUGAGCUCUAGCUUCCACACAUGUACGAGCAAACUUGGAAGAACCUCUCUCACCAGCCUUAGGACUCCACGCCUUCACGCCUUCAGUUCACGCCUUCACGCCUUCAGACUAUGUCCCCACACCGUGGAAGUUCCUCUCCUUUGAGCAUCUCUCAUUCCAGCUGAGGGUGAUAAGAGAGGCUCCAAGAUGUGCUACAGGCGUAUUAGCACCAGAUCGCGAUGUCGUCUUCGAGGUCACUGGAAAAACUCAGGAGAAGGACAGAUGAGGGGCAGUGGCAGCCCCUGUGAAGUGCCCUGGAUUGGAUUUCUGAGAUCUCACCAGCCCCAAGGACCACACUGAUGCCUGGGCCAGGGACUUCUGCCUGCCUGCCCGCUGCCGCCACGAUCGAAUCCAUUGACUCCCCUUCUAUCAACGCCUUCCCUGAAACAGGCAGGGCGUGAUGGUUUCAAUGAUUUACUUAUCUCGAGCCAACAGGUCAUGACAGAGAAGUCAAUAGGUGUGUGUUAGAAGGAGUUCCUUUAAUUAUUCAGGCUCUCUAAAGAACAGGAGAGAUAUUUUAACAUGAAUUAAAGCGCCUGGAGAGAGAAGACCUGGGGUAGAGGUUGGGGGUCUCUAAACCACCUGCCACCCAGGUGGCCCUCCAGGACACAGGUGAAAUGUACUUAAUUCAACUCUAAGUAUGAAUAUUGAUCGAGUAUCUUUCUCACACUGAGUUCCAUUGUAGCCCUAGGGGCUCAGUGAUGACAGGGCUCACCGUUUAGUGAAGGGUGUCGGGAAGACAGAGAAAGGCCUUAAAACACUGCAGUAUGAUUACGGUUUAAUGUAAGGAGGACCAGGCUGCUUUAGGAGCAGAGCAAAGAUGAUCUCAGGCAAUA